ACGGUACGGAGGCCGGACGACAGGUCCGCU
rnacentral:sRNA from 1 species